UAAGGAAUAUUGCUCAAUGGGAGAAAUCCUGAAGCAGCAACGCCGCGUGGAGGAUGAAGGGUCUAUGACUUGUAAACUCCUGUAAAGAAGGAAAAAAUUCCCAUUUGAUGGGAGAUGAUGGUACUUCUGGAGUAAGCCCCGGCUAACUACGUGCCAGCAGCCGCGGUAAUACGUAGGGGGCAAGCGUUGUCCGGAUUUACUGGGUGUAAAGGGUGCUCAGGCGGAUUUGUAAGUCAGAGGUGAAAUCUUACAGCUUAACUGUGAAACUGCCUAUGCUACUGCAAGCCUAGAGUAUGGAAGAGAGUGAUGGAAUAUCUGGUGUAGCAGUGAAAUGCGUAGAUAUCAGAUAGAACACCAAUGGCGAAGGCAGUCACUUGGUCCAUUACUGACGCUAAAGCACGAAAGCGUGGGUAGCAAACA
rnacentral:rRNA from 1 species